GGGGAUUUAGCUCAGUGGUACAGCACCUGCUUGGCAAGCGUGCAGUCCCGAGUUCAAUUCACAGUACCCCCA
rnacentral:tRNA from 1 species